AUUGAACGCUGGCGGCAGGCCUAACACAUGCAAGUCGAGCGGAGCGGCGGACGGGCGAGUAAUGCCUAGGAAUCUGCCUGGUAGUGGGGGAUAACGUCCGGAAACGGGCGCUAAUACCGCAUACUAUCAGAUGAGACUAGGUUGGAUGAGCUAGUUGGUGGGGUAAAGGCAUACCAAGGCGACGAUCCGUAACUGGUCUGAGAGGAUGACCAGUCACACGGGAACUGAGACACGGUCAAGACGCCUAAGGGAGGCAGCAGUGGGGACUAUUGGACAAUGGGCGAGAGCCUGACGAAGCCAUGCCGCGUGUGUGAAGAAGGUCUUCGGUUCGUAAAGCACUUGAAGAUGUGAGUCGUUACCAACAGAAUAAGCAGCGGCUAACAUCGUGCCAGCAGCGGCGGUAAUUC
rnacentral:rRNA from 1 species